GCGUUGCCAAGGUGACCCGGGCGCGGGAAGGCGGCUCCGGCUCGCGCGGGCCGGGCCGGGCGGCGGCGGCGGCACCAUGAGCGGCCGGAAGCGCAGCUUCACCUUCGGGGCCUACGGCGGGGUGGACAAGUCCUUCACUUCUCGCCGGAGUGUGUGGAGGAGCGAUGGGCAGAACCAGCACUUCCCUCAGGCACUAGACCUGUCACGAGUGAACUUAGUUCCCUCCUAUACUCCUUCACUCUACCCUAAGAACACAGAUCUAUUUGAGAUGAUUGAGAAGAUGCAGGUGAGGAUGGCUCUGUGGCCUGUUCUGGGGAGCCACAGAGCUGGCUGGGCUGGGGCUGGGGGGCCCUUGCUGCAUCUCCAGCCCUUCACCUCCCUGAGGACAGGCCACGCCAGUAGAAGAUGGUGGCUAUUGGUUGUCCAGGGUCCUCUGUCUGGAGGUCAGGGUAGAGGAUGCCCAACCCCAUCUCUGAUGCCGGAGUCCAUCUAGGCUCCCAGCUCCCAUCCCUGUGUGGAACUGCAACAGGGCUGGGGUCAGUUCAUCAACCCACCCCACAGACAUACACUGCCUCUCACCCAGUGAGAGACACCGCAGGCUUUGUGGUGGGGGGCCCAGGUGGAAUGGAACUGGAGGAGGGGACAGAUGCUGGGGGCCUGUCAGCCAGAGACUGUGCUGCAGGAGUGGGAGGUAUUACCCCUCCACCCUCCACCCCACAGCCCCGUCUGCGUUUCACAUAGGUAUGCAUGGGAGGUGGGCCGGGGGUGCUGGGAUGGGAGUGCCUUGAAUACCCUCUGAUCUUUGAUGCCUCCUGUUUCUCUUUCUGUCUCUCUCUCCAAUGCCUCCUAUUUCUCUGUCUUUCUGUCUCGUCUCUGCCUCUCCCUCCCCCUCUCUCCCUCAACACAUAUCUGUGUAGAUAACAGUCCCCCCACCCGCCAGCUCGCACACCGGCAUGUGCACCUCCCCUGCCCCCACUCCCAGCGGCACGUGCGUUCCCGCAGAGUCCCCAGCCCUCCCUGAGGCUGCCAGCCUCCAGCCCCGGUCACUACCGGGACAGCCAGCCCUUCAGACAGGCCCAGGGCCCCCAGCCAGCUAGCACCCUGCCCUGGGAGUACCCCUACCUUCGCGGGCCGCCUCCUAGGGCUUUCCCCUUGCACGCCUUGGGGAGGGGAGGCAGCGCCUGGCGGCAGGCCUGGGAGGGUGUAACAGUGCUGCCUUCUCUUACAGGGAAGCAGGAUGGAUGAACAACGCUGCUCCUUCCCGCCGCCCCUCAAAACAGAGGAGGACUACAUUCCAUACCCGAGCGUGCACGAGGUCUUGGGGCGAGAAGGACCCUUCCCCCUCAUCCUGCUGCCCCAGUUUGGGGGCUACUGGAUUGAGGGCACCAACCACGAAAUCACCAGCAUCCCCGAGACAGAGCCACUGCAGUCGCCCACAACCAAGGUGAAGCUCGAGUGCAACCCCACAGCCCGCAUCUACCGGAAGCACUUUCUCGGCAAGGAGCAUUUCAAUUACUACUCACUGGACGCUGCCCUCGGCCACCUUGUCUUCUCACUCAAGUACGAUGUCAUCGGGGACCAAGAGCACCUGCGGCUGCUGCUCAGGACCAAGUGCCGGACAUACCAUGAUGUCAUCCCCAUCUCCUGCCUCACCGAGUUCCCUAAUGUUGUCCAGAUGGCAAAGUUGGUGUGUGAAGACGUCAAUGUGGAUCGGUUCUAUCCUGUGCUCUACCCCAAGGCUUCCCGGCUCAUCGUCACCUUUGACGAGCAUGUCAUCAGCAAUAACUUCAAGUUUGGCGUCAUUUAUCAGAAGCUUGGGCAGACCUCCGAGGAAGAACUCUUCAGCACCAAUGAGGAAAGUCCCGCUUUCGUGGAGUUCCUUGAAUUUCUUGGCCAGAAGGUCAAACUGCAGGACUUUAAGGGGUUCCGAGGAGGCCUGGACGUGACCCACGGGCAGACGGGGACCGAAUCUGUGUACUGCAACUUCCGCAACAAGGAGAUCAUGUUUCACGUGUCCACCAAGCUGCCAUACACGGAAGGGGACGCCCAGCAGUUGCAGCGGAAGCGGCACAUCGGGAACGACAUCGUGGCUGUGGUCUUCCAGGAUGAGAACACUCCUUUCGUGCCCGACAUGAUCGCGUCCAACUUCCUGCAUGCCUACGUCGUGGUGCAGGCUGAGGGCGGGGGCCCUGAUGGCCCCCUCUACAAGGUCUCUGUCACUGCAAGAGAUGAUGUGCCCUUCUUUGGACCCCCCCUCCCGGACCCCGCUGUGUUCAGGAAGGGGCCUGAGUUCCAGGAAUUUUUGCUGACAAAGCUGAUCAAUGCUGAAUAUGCCUGCUACAAGGCAGAGAAGUUUGCCAAACUGGAGGAGCGGACGCGGGCCGCCCUCCUGGAGACGCUCUAUGAGGAACUACACAUCCACAGCCAGUCCAUGAUGGGCUUGGGCGGCGACGAGGACAAGAUGGAGAAUGGCAGUGGGGGCGGCGGCUUCUUUGAGUCUUUCAAGCGGGUCAUCCGGAGCCGCAGCCAGUCCAUGGAUGCCAUGGGGCUGAGCAACAAGAAGCCCAACACCGUGUCCACCAGCCACAGCGGGAGCUUCGCGCCCAACAACCCCGACCUGGCCAAGGCGGCUGGAAUAUCACUGAUUGUCCCUGGGAAGAGCCCCACGAGGAAGAAGUCGGGCCCGUUCGGCUCCCGCCGCAGCAGCGCCAUUGGCAUCGAGAACAUACAGGAGGUGCAGGAGAAGAGGGAGAGCCCUCCGGCUGGUCAGAAGACCCCAGACAGCGGGCACGUCUCACAGGAGCCCAAGUCGGAGAACUCAUCCACUCAGAGCUCCCCAGAGAUGCCCACGACCAAGAACAGAGCGGAGACCGCAGCGCAGAGAGCAGAGGCGCUCAAGGACUUCUCCCGCUCCUCGUCCAGUGCCAGCAGCUUCGCCAGCGUGGUGGAGGAGACGGAGGGUGUGGACGGAGAGGACACAGGCCUGGAGAGCGUGUCAUCCUCAGGAACACCCCACAAGCGGGACUCCUUCAUCUAUAGCACGUGGCUGGAGGACAGUGUCAGCACCACUAGUGGGGGCAGCUCCCCAGUGAGGUGGCUCCCUCCUGCCCCCCUCCCCAGGCCCCUCUCGAUCACCCCACCCAGACGCCGGCAAGUUGGGGGACCCUGCGUGUCCCGAGAUCAAGAUCCAGCUGGAAGCAUCUGAGCAGCACAUGCCCCAGCUGGGCUGUUAGCCGGGCCACCCCCUCUGAAGGUGAAACUGAGCAGAUGAGGCCACAGAAGCACAAGGGGAAGGUGCCGUGUCAAGCCCAGGCAGACGAGACCUCUGCCCUGAAGACCAACACCAGCCCGUGGGCUGCCCCCUGCCUCCCCACCCUCCCCAUGGCCCACCCAUCUGGGCUGUCUCUGCAGGGCAGAGCCGUCCAGACCUGGGAUCAGGGAAGCUGCUGGCAUCGUCCCCACCCCCAGCCUGGGGGUCUGGGCUGGGGCAGGGAUUGCUCAGUGGAAGCAGGACUGGGGGUCUGGCUUGCCCCCUCCCUGGGCCUCCAUCACCCCUGAGCAUCCCUCUGGACUCAGAGGGAACAAGGUGGGAGAGAGAGUUUGAGACAGCUCCGUGUGGAGAGCUUAGCCCCUGGAGGCAGCACAAGGAGGAUGUGAUAUGUGGGGGAGUGAGCACUGGGUUGGGAGCCGGGUCCUGGUUUCCAAUUUGGGUUCUGCUGUGUGACUCUGGGCAAGUCACUCUCCCUCUCUGGGCAUGUCUGCUACAAAUGGACAAGAUUAUUUCAGAGGUCACUGAAGACUGUGAUUACAUGCACCUGCCUUAGAAGGUAGGAUUUUCUUCCCAGGGACCUCCUAUCACCCUACCCUGCUUCUUGAGGUCCCUGGAGCCCCAGGUGGGCUGAGGGGCAGGGAGCCGGCUGUGCCCAGUAUGCCUCCUGGACCCUCCAGUUCUGCCACAGGUCUGCCGAUGCCCUGUCCACUGCCUACACAUGACAGACAAGUAACCCCCUCAUGGGGGAUGGGGACCUACCUGGCUCCUCAGCCAGCACCCAGCUUAACCCCUGCCAUCCCAUGCUGGGCCCUCCAGGCCAAGAGUCUCAGCUGGCCGAGAGUCCAGGCCUUGCCUCCCCCGACCGCCAUGGAGGGGGCAGCCCGGCACAGCUGCUGGGAGCCCUUGUGUGUCUGGUCACACUUUUUAGGCGUCACGCCAAAGGCCAGCCUCCUGGCCCCAAUACCCAUUUUGGAAGCCCCUGUGGCCGUGUGGAUGUCGGUAACAGUUGUAUAAAAUAAAUUCUAUUUAUCGCUAUUGUA